GGCGCCUGCCCGCCUGUUCGCUCUUCUCUUCUCUUCUUUUCUCUUCUCUUCUCUUCAGGGCCUGUAAACUGAACGUCUUGUAGCCUCUCUUCUUCUUUCCUUGCCCAGCCCCAGAUGCUGUGUUUUACCAGGGCCGCUCCAUUGUGACUCGCCCUGCAUAUGCCCAUCCAUUCCUGGACCUGACAUCUACUGAUGCUCCUCAGUCCCGAUGCAUAGUCACACUCAGAAACAGAACAUGGACAGUAUGAUGACCACAGGAAAACCAAUCAACAAAGCCCAGGAUGAAGAGUCAUCAGAGGGCAGAAAGAAUACAAAAGGAGGGAUUUCAGAGUAGCAAAGGAUCCUAAGGAGGGAACCCGAGGCCACCAUGGGCAGAGAGCACACCACCAGCCCGUCUCACCUACCCCACUGGGGGAGUGGGCCUCAGCCCUCGACCUCCAGGCUGCUGACAUCUGACAUUCAAGUGAGAACCUGAGAGUGAAGCUUGCAUACUGGCCAGACAUACCUUCCUUCUGUGACAGCCCUAGAACUGGUAGACAUAGAAUUGGGGAAGUUAUUUUGUUUGCCUUUCCUACAUUAUUCUUAUCUGCUAUCACUGUAUCAAUAAAA